rnacentral:rRNA from 1 species
UACGUAGGGGGCGAGCGUUGUCCGGAAUCAUUGGGCGUAAAGGGCGCGUAGGCGGGUCAUUAAGUCUGGUGUGAAAGGCAGGGGCUCAACCCCUGGAAGGCACCGGAAACUGGUGAUCUUGAGGACAGGAGAGGAAAGCGGAAUUCCACGUGUAGCGGUGAAAUGCGUAGAUAUGUGGAGGAACACCAGUGGCGAAGGCGGCUUUCUGGACUGUAACUGACGCUGAGGCGCGAAAGCGUGGGGAGCAAACAGG